UACGUAGGGGGCUAGCGUUGUCCGGAAUCAUUGGGCGUAAAGCGCGUGUAGGCGGUCCGGUAAGUCCGCUGUGAAAGUCGGGGGCUCAACCCUCGAAUGCCGGUGGAUACUGUCGGGCUUGAGUACGGGAGAGGCGAGUGGAAUUCCUGGUGUAGCGGUGAAAUGCGCAGAUAUCAGGAGGAACACCGAUUGCGAAGGCAGCUCGCUGGAACGUUACUGACGCUGAGACGCGAAAGCGUGGGGAGCAAACAGGG
rnacentral:rRNA from 1 species